rnacentral:rRNA from 1 species
UACGGAGGGUGCAAGCGUUAUCCGGAUUUACUGGGUUUAAAGGGUGCGCAGGCGGAUAUGUAAGUCAGUGGUGAAAUCUCUAGGCUUAACCUGGAAAUUGCCGUUGAUACUAUAUAUCUUGAAUGUUGUGGAGGUAAGCAGAAUAUGUCAUGUAGCGGUGAAAUGCUUAGAUAUGGCAUAGAAUACCUAUUGCGAAGGCAGCUUACUACGCAGAUAUUGACGCUCAUGCACGAAAGCGUGGGGAUCAAACAGG